UACUCAGUAGCGGCCUAACAGUAUAAAUUUGCAACGAAUACUUUUUCUCAUUCUAUCGAACAAAGAGUAAAACCUAAUUAUCUUGUUCUAUUAUGUCCCGAGAGUGUAAAUUUCGAACGAAUCGAUGUCAACGUUCACAAGAACCAAAACCGGAAUAACAUUAGACUACUCAGUUGCGCCCUAACUGUCCCGCCCCGGGACCGAUGCCAAUUUGGCUCGACCCGAGCACGUCAAAUAGACGCCGAAUGGACAGAGUUUCCCCUAUCCGCCCAAGGCUCAUCACAUGUACAAAUUCAAACAAGAAAUGCACUAGCGAAACAUGCACAAACGGCUUACACGAGGGUAAGCAAUAGCAAUUAGUGAAAGAUAGGAAACUAGCAUUCAUUCUGUACUAUGAUUCAGUUUAGAUCAUAUACAUUACAUCCAACUUGUAAUUUAUCGAUUUCUUACAUUCAUUACAUCAUUUCAUCAUAUCUUUCUUACAUAACAUUUACCUCAAAAUACACAUUACAUUCUUUUCUUUACAGCAUUUAUUAUCAUGUACCAAAAGAUGAUCAUAGGGUACUUUACUACAAAAUGAAACCAAACUUUGGUGGCCUCUGACUAAGGCGCGAUACCUUUACCUCGGUCGCUCGCCGGCAAGCUCGGUCCCGGCUCUGUGGAAAUAGUGGGGUGAGAACUACAACAAAGUUCCCAAUGGGUUCGGCCUCAACAUCACCGACUUUCCCACUAGGACUAACUCAGGCAUAAUAGAAAGAAUAAGCUGCAUAUAGUAACCAAUCUAUACCUAAUGCUAAUAUGCCUGAACAAUAAAGCAAGGAGUAUGCUCAACAUUAAAUAAUGCAGAUUAUGCAAAUUCUUUGUUCUUUUUAUUUUACUCUUUGUUCUUUGUUCUUUGUUUUUUGCACUUUGUUCUUUGCUCUUUGUUCUUUAAUCUUAAGGCUAAUCCGGGGAUAUCGCCACAUUAACUUGCUUCACAUUAAGUCCAUCAUCGCAGGAACUCACUCGCUAGGACCGUCCUUCGGGUUUACUCCAACCCGUGAUACAUAACUCCGGAGCGCAUCGCCCGAGGGGGAGUGACCGCCCUCAAGCACGGAACUCAUAGCAAGUAUGAUCGAAUUCUUAACUUAAAGGAUUAUAUGUUCAAUCUUGACUUUACACUAACUCUAGUGUUCUUUACGUCACUUCAUGUUGCUACUCUAGCAAUCAUUGUUCUUUACAUUUCCCUACUUUUGCUAACUUUAGCAUUCUUGUUCUUUACAUUUCUUAUUCUUAUUGCCCCACUUUACUUUAACUUUACACAUUGUCAUUAUCAUCAUUCUUUACAUCACUUUGGUUCUUUGGCUCACACUAACUCUAGUGUCACUUUACUUUACGUCUUCAAAUGCCACUCGAUAUAUGUCAUAGUGUCACUCUGUUCUUUUGCUCACUUUGGGUGCUCACUUUUCUCUCAUGCAUACACAUAGGGUUUUUACAUUCAUAAGGUUCUCAACCAUCACAUUAGGCAAGUUGUACUCACAAUCAUGCAACAUCACAUUCUCAUCAUCUCUUUACCCUAAAAUGCAUUCAACAAAUAUGUAACAUAUGCUCAAUUGAAUGACACAUUAGGCAUAGAGAGAAGUUCAACGAGUUUGGAAAGCACCACCCACCUCGUAGGCUUUCAAAGGUGCUCCGACGAUUUUCUUGGGAUUUUUAGGCUUCUCGUUCUUUACCUGCGGCAAAACGAAGCCCUAAUAGGUCAUUUGCUCAUAUCUUUUCAUUGGUUCUUCGGAAUGUUAAUCCGAGCGCACCAACGUGUCGGAAAUAUCCCCAAUUAGGUUUCUAGAGGGUCAAUUGCACUUAGAAAUCCCCAUGAGCAAAGGCCCCAAUUUGGUGCCCUAGCUCCAUAGCAUUCAUCAAACCUAGGGUUUGAUCUCAAAGAGAAGCAAAAGUAGCUUCAUUCUACUCUAAAGAGUCCAUCUAAACCAUCUUUAGACAAAUCAAAACCCUACUUAGGGUUUCACCAUGAGAGGUGAUGAAGCUCACCUUCAAGCUUCACCAUUUCUAUGGUCUUGAUCUCAAAAGAAGCAAAAGAAAAGCUUCAAAUACUCAAAUGGUUCCAUAAAACCCAUUUUAAACUUAAUCCAAACCCUAAAUUAGGUUCUACCAUAAUUAGGGUUCAAAGCUUACUUUGUAAGCUCUCAUUUUCCAAGCUAGAGAUGAGGGAGAGGGAGUUUCUUCACUUCUUCUUCUUCUUCUCGACUUUCUUCUUCUUCUUUUUCCUUCCUUUUCCUUCUCUUCUUCUUCUCCUUCUUUGUCUUCUAGACAGAGAAAAAGAGAUGAGAGGGGAUGAGAGGGUGAGAUUGAGAGAAAUCCCUCAUUUACCCCAAUACAUAGCUCAUUGGGUUGCAAAAUUGCAGAUAAACCCCUCAACUUUUACUCUUUCACACAGCCUGGACUGGGCUGUUCGCGCAGGCGGGUACCGGUCUUUCCUUCAGGGACCGGUUCUCGAAGGCUCUCCCCGCGCAGCCAGAGCUGCUGCGCGCAGGACAACCGGUCUCUCUUUGGGGGACCGGUCUCUCGGGGACCGGUCUCUCAGGUAGGGACCGGUUCCCGAGAGCUAGUUUCUCAGGACUUAGCCGAUUUUUCGACUGUCUCAUUUCAUACGCGUUCGGGGACCGGUCUCUCCCACCAGGGACCGGUCCCCCAGAGCUCAAAACUGCAGAAUGCAGAUUUUGAUUCUAUAGCUCUCGAAAACCUCCCGUAACUCACUUUUAAUCAUUUUAACACCAUCGGACUUUUCGAAGUGUACCAUCCUUGCACUUUGGUCAAUUUGACUAAAGUUCGAUAUUUAUUUUCCGAAUUUUCGGUAUAUUACACUAACAGUAUAAAUUUGUAACGAGUUCUUUUUCUCAUUUAAUCAAACAAAGAGUAAAACCUAAUUAUAUUGUUCUAUUAUGCCCCGAGAGUGAAAUGUUGGAACGAAUCGAUGUCAACGUUCACAUGAACCAAAACCGAAACAACAUUAAACUACUCAUUUUCGCCCUAACAGUAUAAAUUUGCAACGAGUACUUUUUUUCAUCCAAUCCAAAAAAGAGUAAAACCUAAUUAUAUUGUUCUAUUACACCCCGAGAGUGUAAUGUUGGAAGGAAUCGAGAUCAACGUUCACAAGAACCAAAAUCGGAACAACAUUAGACUACUCGCGCCCUAACAUUAUAACUUUGCAACGAGUACUUUUUCUCAUUCAAUCAAACAAAGAGUAAAUCCUAAUUACAUUGGUCUAUUAUGCCCCAAGAGUGUAAUGUUGGAAGGAAUCGAUGUCAACGUUCACAAAAACCAAAACCGGAACUGCAUUAGACAACUCACUUGCGCCCUAACAGUAUAAAUUUGCAACGAGUGCUUUUUCUCAUUCUAUCGAACAAAGAGUACAAGCUAAUUAUACUGUUCUAUUAUACCCUGAGAGUGUAAAUUUCGAACGAAUACAUGUCAACGUUAACAAGAACCAAAACCGAAACAACAUUAGACUACACAGUUGCGCCCUAACUGUAUAACUUUACAACGAGUACUUUUUCUCAUUCAAUCAAACAAAGAGUAAAACCUAAUUGUAUUGUUUUAUUAUGCCCCGAGAGUGUAAUAUUGGAACAAAUCGAUGUCAACGUUCACAAGAACCAAAACCGGAACAACAUUAAACUACUCGGUUGCGCCAUAAUAGUAUAAAUUUGCAACGAAUACUUUUUCUUAUUCUAUCGAACAAAGAGUAAAAGCUAAUUAUAUUGUUCUAUUAUGCCCCGAGAGUGUAAAUUUCGAACGAAUCGUUGUCAACGUUCACAAGAACCAAAACUUGAACAAUAUUAGACUACUCAGUUGCGCCCUAACAGCAUAAAUUUGCAACGAGUUUUUUUUCUCAUUCUAUCGAACAAAGAGUAAAAACUAAUUAUAUUGUUUUAUUAUGCCCUGAGAGUGUAAAUUUCAAACGAAUCGAUGUCAACGUUCACAAGAACCAAAACGGAAACAACAUUAGACUACUAAGUUGCGCCAUAACAGUAUAACUUUGCAACAAGUACUUUUUCUAAUUCAAUCGAACAAAGAGUAAAACCUAAUUACCUUGUUCUAUUAUGCCCCGAGACUGUAAAUUUCGAACGAAUCGAUGUCAACGUUCACAAGAACCAAAACCGGAACAACAUUAGACUACUCAGUUGCGCCCUAACAAUAUAACUUUGCAACGAGUACUUUUUCUCAUUCAAACAAACAAAAAGUAAAAACCUAAUUAUAUUGUUCUAUUAUGCCCCGAGAGUGUAAUAGUAGAACGAAACGAUGUCAAAGUUCACAAGAACCAAAAUCGGAACAACAUUAGACUACUCGGUUGCGUCCUAACAGUAUAACUUUGCAACAAGUACUUUUUCUCACUCUUUCGAACAAAGUGUAAAACCUAAUUAUAUUGUUCUAUUAUGCCCCGAGAAUGUAAAUUUCGAAUGAAUCGAUGUCAACGUUAACAAGAACCAAAACCGAAACAACAUUAGAAUACACAGUUGCGCCCUAACUGUAUAACUUUGCAACGAGUACUUUUUCUCAUUCAAUCAAACAAAGAGUAAAACCUAAUUGUAUUAUUCUAUUAUGCCCCGAGAGUGUAAUAUUGGAACGAAUCGAAGUCAACGUUCACAAGAACCAAAACCGGAACAACAUUAAACUACUCGGUUGCGCCCUAACAGUAUAAAUUUGCAACGAGUACUUUUUCUUAUUCUAUCGAACAAAGAGUAAAAGCUAAUUAUAUUGUUCUAUUAUGCCCCGAGAGUGUAAAUUUCGAACGAAUCGUUGUCAAUGUUCACAAGAACCAAAACCGGAACAACAUUAGACUACUCAGUUGCACCCUAACAGUAUAAAUUUGCAACGAGUUCUUUUUAUCAAUCUAUCGAACAAAGAGGAAAAACUAAUUAUAUUGUUCUAUUAUGCCCUGAGAGUGUAAAUUUCAAACGAAUCGAUGUCAACGUUCACAAGAACCAAAACCGAAACAACAUUAGACUACUAAGUUGCGCCUUAACAGUAUAACUUUGCAACGAGUACUUUUUCUCAUUCAAUCGAACAAAGAGUAAAACCUAAUUACCUUGUUCUAUUAUGCCCCGAGACUGUAAAUUUCGAACGAAUCGAUGUCAACGUUCACAUGAACCAAAAUCGGAACAACAUUAGACUACUUAGUCGCGCCCUGACAAUAUAACUUUGCAACGAGUACUUUUUCUCAUUCAAACAAACAAAGAGUAAAAACCUAAUUAUAUUGUUCUAUUUUACCCAGAGAGUGUAAUAGUGGAACGAAACGAUGUCUACGUUCACAAGAACCAAAAUCGGAACAACAUUAGACUACUCAGUAGCGGCCUAACAGUAUAAAUUUGCAACGAAUACUUUUUCUCAUUCUAUCGAAGAAAACGUAAAACCUAAUUAUAUUGUUCUAUUAUGCCCUGAGAGUGUAAUGUUGGAACGAAUCGUUGUCAACGUUCACAAGAAGCAAAAUCGGAACAACAUUAGACUACUUAGUUUCGCCCUAACAGUAUAAAUUUGCAACGAGUUCUUUUUCUCAUUUAAUCAAACAAAGAGUAAAACCUAAUUAUAUUGUUCUAUUAUGCCCUGAGAGUGUAAUGUUGGAACGAAUCGUUGUCAACGUUCACAAGAACCAAAACCGGAACAACAUUAAACUACUCAGUUUCGCCCUAACAAUAUAAAUUUGCAUCGAGUACUUUUUCUCAUUUAAUCAAAAAAAAGUAAAACCUAAUUAUAUUGUUCUAAUAUACCCCGAGAGUGUAAUGUUGGAAGGAAUCGAUGUCAACGUUCACAAGAAUCAAAACCGAAACAACAUUAGACUACUCACUUGCGCCCUAAUAUUAUAACUUUGCAACGAGUACUUUUUCUCAUUCAAUCAAACAAAGAGUAAAUCCUAAUUAUAUUGUUCUAUUAUGCCCCGAGAGUGUAAUGUUGGAAGGAAUCGAUGUCAACGUUCACUAGAACCAAAACCGGAACUGCAUUAGACAACUCACUUGCGCCGUAACAGUAUAAAUUUGCAACGAGUGCUUUUUCUCAUUCUAUCGAACAAAGAGUAAAAGCUAAUUAUAUUUUUCUAUUAUGAUGCCCCGAGAGUGUAAAUUUCGAACGAAUUGAUGUCAACGUUCACAAGAACCAUAACCGAAACAACAUUAGACUACGCAGUUGCGCCCUAACUGUAUAACUAUGCAACGAGUACUUUUUCUCAUUCAAUCAAACAAAGAAUAAAAGCUAAUUAUAUUGUUGUAUUAUGCCCCGAGUGCGUAAAUUUUCGACAAAUCGAUGUCAAUGUUCAUAAGAACCAAAACCGGAACAACAUUAGGCUACUCAGUUGCGCCCUAACAGUAUAAAUUGGCAACGAGGGCUUUUUCUCAUUCUAUCGAACGAAGAGUAAAAAAUGUGUCGGUUCUAUUAUGCCCCGAGAGGGUAAAUUAGAUGUCCACAUUCACAAGAACGAAAACCGGAACAACAUUAAGCUACUCAAUUGCGGCCAAACAGCAUAAAUUUGGAACGAGUAAUUUUUCUCAUUCAAUCGAACAAAGAGUAAUACCUAAUUAAAAUGUUCUAUUAUGCCCCGAGAGGGUAAAUUAGAUAUCCACGUUCACAAGAACGAAAACCGGAACAACAUUAGACUACUCAAUUGCGCCCUAACAGUAUAAAUUUGCAACGUGUACUUUUUCUCAUUCAUUCAAACAAAGAGUAAAACCUAAUUAAAAUGUUCUAUUAUGCCCUGAGAGGGUAAAUUAGAUGUCCACGUUCACAAAACGAGAACCGGAACAACAUUAGGCUACUCAAUUGCGCCCUAACAUUAUAAAUUUGCAACGAGUACUUUUUCUCAUUCAAGCGAAUAAAGAGCAAAACCUAAUUAAAAUAUUCUAUUAUGCCCCGGGGAGGUAAAUUAGAUGUCCACGUUCACAAGAACGAAAACCGGAACAACAUUAAGCUACUCAAUUGCGGCCAAACAGUAUAAAUUUGGAACGAGUACUUUUUCUCAUUCAACCGAAUAAAGAGUAAUACCUAAUUAAAAUGUUAUAUUAUGCCCCGAGAGGGUAAAUUAGAUAUCCACUGUCACGCCCCGAGACCGAUACCAAUUUGGUCCGGCCCGGGCGCGUCGAACAGACGCCGAACGGACAGGACCUACCCCGUCCGCCCAAGGCUAACCAACGGAUCAUGUAUAAGAAUUUACCCAGAAAUCAAUUCAUAAAUACACGA
rnacentral:lncRNA from 1 species